ensembl:snRNA U6 U6 spliceosomal RNA
GUGCUUGCUUUGGCAGCACAUAUACUAAAAUUGGAAUGAUACAGAGAUUAGCAUGGCCCCUGCACAAGGAUGACACACAAGUUUGUGAAGCAUUCCAUAUUUUU